rnacentral:rRNA from 1 species
UAAUACAGAGGGUGCGAGCGUUAAUCGGAAUUACUGGGCGUAAAGGGUGCGUAGGUGGUUGUGUCAGUUAGGUGUGAAAUUCCUGGGCUUAACCUGGGAACUGCGCCUGAUACUGCAUAGCUAGAGUAUUGUAGAGGAAAGUGGAAUUUCCGGUGUAGCGGUGAAAUGCGUAGAUAUCGGAAGGAACAUCAGUGGCGAAGGCGACUUUCUGGACAAAUACUGACACUGAGGCACGAAAGCAUGGGGAGCAAACAGGAUUAGAUACCCUGGUAGUCCAUGCCGUAAACGAUGAAGACUGGCUGUUGGGAACCCUUGGGUUCUUGGUAGCGAAGCUAACGCGUUAAGUCUUCCGCCUGGGGAGUACGGCCGCAAGGUUA